UAGGUAGUUUUUUAUCUUCAAAAGACAUUCC
rnacentral:piRNA from 1 species